UACGGGGGGAGCAAGCGUUGUUCGGAUUUACUGGGCGUAAAGGGCGCGUAGGCGGUAGCACAAGUCAGUUGUGAAAUCUCCGGGCUUAACUCGGAAAGGUCAACUGAUACUGUGCGACUAGAGUGCAGAAGGGGCAACUGGAAUUCUCGGUGUAGCGGUGAAAUGCGUAGAUAUCGUAAGGAAGACCAGUGGCGAAGGCGGGUCUCUGGACAGUUCCUGACACUGAGGCACGAAGGCCAGGGGAGCAAACGGG
rnacentral:rRNA from 1 species